ACUUAGUUAUUUUUCCUACUUGUUCAUCGUUCUCUCUCUCUCACUCUUGCCUGAAACUCUAGCCCUCUCCUCCUUCCUCUCCCGUUCUCUUUCCACGGCCACCAUCGCCUUCCUCUUCGCUCACUCCCGCUACUAUCUCUCUCCCUCAUUAACCACCUCCACCCCCUCGUCGGCGCUAUCACCUCCACCCGCAAGCUCUCUCUCUCUCUCUCUCUCUCGCUCUCGAGCUCUCUAAGAUCUCAGAAGAUUUCAAUCUGGCAAAGCAUCCUCUACAACAGGUUUCAAUAUGAAUUAAUCGCGUUAAUGAUGGGUGGAGAUUUGGGGAUGCCAUCGUUCCUUGAAGAAGACUGCGUUCUUCAAGAGUGAGAUUUGGAGGAGGUUGUUUGUGACAGCAGUACUGAUUGUGAUUAGUCGUGUUGGUUGUUUCAUUACUCUGCCUGGGUUUGAUAGAAGGUUGAUACCUCAGGAUUAUCUCAGGUUUGUCUCGGGAUCAGUUGAUGAGCUCGACGAUUUUACAACAGAGCUUAAAAUGUCCUUGUCCCAGUUUGGAAUCAAUCCUCAAAUUAUAGCAUCGAUUAUCAUACAGGGUCAAGCAUGUGAUGCUGACAAGUAUGUUAUUGGUCUGUGGUGCGAUGACAAUGACAUGGAUAUGUGAUACCAUUACAGAAUCUGGAUUUGGUAUGAUACUUGACCUUUUGGUUACUUGGUUAGCAGCAAUAUGGUUUUGCUCAUAUGGUUUUGAGUCUCGUAUUGACUUUCCACUUGAUGUAAUCUGAAUUGUAAUUCGCUAUCUGACAAAGUAUUAGUUUCCAUACCCUUUGAUCUAAUUUUGCGAAAAGGAUCUUCACGGUUGCAUGAAUUUGCUUUUGAAACCUGCAUGACUAUGUCAUUAAGCUAUAUGUGCAAUUUCAGCUUUUGGUAUGUGGUUUAGGAUUUCUAUUCAAUGAAACAGCAUGCAUUUCUGUGGCAUGUUGGGGAAACAACAGCGGCCACCCAUGGACUAAUAUAUAUGACAUAGACAAGUUAUGUGCUGCCCCCGCAUUGCGAAUAUGAAAAUGAUUACAUGUAUUGGACAGCAUUUCGGAGCUCUAACAUUCUUUUGAUUUUCCAUUUGCCAGGUUUGUGGGGAAGAUAUGUAGAAAUUUGAGAGAGCAGAAAUCGUAUGUACGCUGCUGUUGGUUGUCCUUGGUGUUGCUGCACUAAGUGAUCUCAUCAAAGAGGAGUGGAAAAACUUAUACCAUGAAACCAUUGCCUCUAAAAGCAUCACGGGACAUCUUGAGGUUGAUGCACCAUACUUACCGCAGUUAGGGAUUUCAGUUGUUUGUAAGCUUCUUUGAAAUAUAUGGAGGAAAACUUUUUGAUCUCCUCAAUGAGCGCAAAAAGCUUUGCAUGAGAGAAGAUGGUAAGCAACAAGUUUGUAUUGUGGGUUUGCAAGAAUACAAAGUGUCUGAUGUAGAGACAAUUAAAGAGCUCAUUGAGAAAGGAAGUGCCACAAGAUGUAUUGGUACCACUGGUGCAUAUGAAGAAUCCUCUCGCUCACAUGCCAUACUUCAGCUUGCUAUCAAAAGGGCAGUUGAUGACAAUGUAUCAAAGCCUCCCUGUCUUGUUGGUGAAAACAGAAGAACAAAUGGGAUAUAAGUAUGGCGAGGCUUGCUUUCGUUUAUGUUUCUAGUAUUAUGUACCAUUUAGACUUAAAUUUUUGUUUUAUUUCGACAUGUUAUGCAUAGAAAUACUUGGGAUGUUGUUAUGUACUUUGAGCAUCAAUAUUAAUCAAAAUUUAUUUACUUACGAUAUGUAUUCUCAUUA